rnacentral:rRNA from 1 species
AUUGAACGCUGGCGGCAGGCUUAACACAUGCAAGUCGAGCGAGCGGCGGACGGGUGAGUAAUGUCUGGGAACCUGCCUGAUGGAGGGGGAUAACUACUGGAAACGGUAGCUAAUACCGCAUACCAUCCGAUGUGCCCCGAUGGGAUUAGCUAGUUGGUGGGGUAAAGGCUCACCAGGGCAACGAUCCUUAGCUGGUUUGAGAGGACGACCAGCCACACUGGGACUGAGACACGGCCCAGACUCCUACGGUAGGCAGCAGUGGGGAAUUUUGGAAAAUGGGGGAAACCCUGAUCCAGCCAUCCCGCGUGUAUGAUGAAGGCCUUCGGGUUGUAAAGUACUUUUGGCAGAGAAGCGGUAUCUGCAGAAUAAGCACCGGCUAACUACGUGCCAGCCGCCGCGGUAAUUC